AUGAAUAUGAAUGGUUUCGACAACUUUCAUAUCAUUGACGCAGAGGAUGGCGCCGUUGGUCUUGUCGCUUUGUCUCGCCAGCUUAACCUUCAAAUGUGGCGGAGGAAGGUCGAUUGUCGGGGUGUUACCACAUGGUUGUUGCAGAAGACUGUUUCAUUGGGUGAACUUCUUAAGAUCCCUUCUUGGACUAUGAGAAGGAUUGAACCGCUCAAAGUGGUGGGUUAUGAUGAGGAUACUGAUGUAAUCUUUAUAGAGAGUCACGAUGGUGUGUAUAUGGUUCAGCCAAAGUCAAUGCAAGCCAGGAAACUUAAUGGAAUCAGCUCUACAUAUUACUGCUAUACUUUAGCGAGUCUCUGUGUACUAGGUGAUUGA
rnacentral:rRNA from 1 species